rnacentral:rRNA from 1 species
AGUUAAAAAGCUCGUAGUUGGAUUUCGGAGUGAGCUAGUUGGUCCGCCGCAAGGUGUGUUACUGACUAGUUUGCUCUUCUUCGCAAAGACUGCGUGUGCUCUUGAGUGAGUGUGCGUAGGAUUUACGACGUUUACUUUGAAAAAAUUAGAGUGUUCAAAGCAGGCUAUUGCUUGAAUACAUGAGCAUGGAAUAAUGGAAUAGGACUUUGGUCCCAUUUUGUUGGUUUCUAGGACCGAAGUAAUGAUUAAGAGGGACAAUUGGGGGCAUCCGUAUUUCGUUGUCAGAGGUGAAAUUCUUGGAUUUACGAAAGGCGAACAACUGCGAAAGCACUUGCCAAGAGUGUUUUCAUUAAUCAAGAACGAAAGUUAGAGGAUCGAAGACGAUCAGAUACCGU